rnacentral:rRNA from 1 species
GAUGAACGCUGGCGGCGUGCCUAAUACAUGCAAGUCGAGCGAACAGACGAGGAGCUUGCUCCUCUGACGUUAGCGGCGGACGGGUGAGUAACACGUGUAUAACCUACCUAUAAUACUGGGAUAACUUCGGGAAACCGGAGCUAAUACCGGAUAAUAUAUUGAACCGCAUGGUUCAAUAGUGAAAGACGGUUUUGCUGUCACUUAUAGAUGGAUCCGCGCCGCAUUAGCUAGUUGGUAAGGUAACGGCUUACCAAGGCAACGAUGCGUAGCCGACCUGAGGGGGUGAUAGGCCACACUGGAACUGAGACACGGUCCAGACUCCUACGGGAGGCAGCAGUAGGGAAUCUUACGCAAUGGGCGAAAGCCUGACGGAGCAACGCGGCGUGAGUGAUGAAGGUCUUCGGAUCGUAAAACUCUGUUAUGAGGGAAGAACAAAUGUGUAAGUAACUAUGCACGUCUUGACGGUACCUAAUCAGAAAGCCACGGCUAACUACGUG